rnacentral:rRNA from 1 species
UACGGAGGGUGCAAGCGUUAUCCGGAUUCACUGGGUUUAAAGGGUGCGUAGGUGGGUUGGUAAGUCAGUGGUGAAAUCUCCGAGCUUAACUUGGAAACUGCCAUUGAUACUAUCAGUCUUGAAUAUUGUGGAGGUUAGCGGAAUAUGUCAUGUAGCGGUGAAAUGCUUAGAUAUGACAUAGAACACCAAUUGCGAAGGCAGCUGGCUACGCAUAUAUUGACGCUGAGGCACGAAAGCGUGGGGAUCAAACGGG